rnacentral:lncRNA from 1 species
CGAGGACGGCUCCCGCAGCCAGCGCGACCACGACUAUCGCGACAUGGACUAUCGCGGAUACGGGGGACCCCCAGAGGGACCCCCCGCUGCCGGGACCCCCCCUCAGGCCUCCUACGAGACCUCGGAGCCCCCCCGGAAACGGGAGCAGCCCCGGGAGCCUCCGCGGGACCCCCCGGCGCUGCCGUUCGGCGCCGACGGCGAUUACCGGGACCAGGAUUACCGGGAGGGCGCCGAGGAGGAGCCCAGGGCCAGCACCAUUGUCAUGCUGCGCAUGCUGCCCCAGGCGGCCACCGAGAACGACAUCCGGGCGCAGCUGCAGGCGCAGGGGGUGCAGCCCCGUGAGGUGCGGCUGA